rnacentral:rRNA from 1 species
AUUGAACGCUGGCGGCAUGCUUUACACAUGCAAGUCGAACGGUAACAGGUUAAGCUGACGAGUGGCGAACGGGUGAGUAAUGCAUCGGAACGUGCCCGAUCGUGGGGGAUAACGCAGCGAAAGCUGCGCUAAUACCGCAUACGAUCUGAGGAUGAAAGCGGGGGACCGUAAGGCCUCGCGCGAUCGGAGCGGCCGGUGUCAGAUUAGGGAGUUGGUGGGGUAAAGGCUCACCAAGGCGACGAACAGUAGCGGGUCUUAGAGGACGAUCCGCCGCACUGAAACUGAGCCGCGGUCCAGCCUCCUAGGGGAGGCAGCAGUGGGGAAUCUAGGACAAUGGGCGAAAGCCUGAUCCAGCAAUGCCGCGUGCGUGAAGAAGUCCUUCGGGUUGUGAAACGCUUUUGUCUGGAAGCAAAUCCUGGCCUCUAGUACAGGUCGGGGAUGAGAGUACCAAAAGAAUAAGGACCGGCUAACUACGUGCCAGCAGCCGCCGUAA